rnacentral:rRNA from 1 species
AUUGAACGCUGGCGGCAUGCUUUACACAUGCAAGUCGAACGGCAGCGCGGGCUUCGGCCUGGCGGCGAGUGGCGAACGGGUGAGUAAUACAUCGGAACGUGCCCAGUAGUGGGGGAUAGCUCGGCGAAAGCCGGAUUAAUACCGCAUACGACCUGAGGGUGAAAGCGGGGGAUCUUCGGACCUCGCGCUAUUGGAGCGGCCGAUGGCAGAUUAGCUAGUUGGUGGGGUAAAGGCCUACCAAGGCGACGAUCUGUAGCUGGUCUGGGAGGACGACCAGCCACACUGGGACGGAGACACGGCCCAGACUCCUACGGGAGGCAGCAGUGGGGAAUUUUGGACAAUGGGCGAAAGCCUGAUCCAGCAAUGCCGCGUGUGUGAUGAAGGCCUUCGGGUUGUAAAGCACUUUUGGCGGGAACGAAAAGGACUGUGCCAAUACCACGGUUCGAUGACGGUACCCGCAGAAUAAGCACCGGCUAACUACGUG